GAUCAUGGUGACAUCGGCGGUUUGCUGCCGGUGAUGUCAUGAGAAGUCCACUAAACCUUAUCAUUUAGAGGAAGGAGAAGCCGUAACAAGGUUUUCGUAGGUGAACCUGCGAAAGGAUCAUUGUUGAU
rnacentral:rRNA from 1 species